AGCAGCCGCGGUAAUUCCAGCUCCAAUAGCGUAUAUUAAAGUUGUUGCAGUUAAAAAGCUCGUAGUUGAAUUUCGGGGUCAGUAGGUUGGUCGUGCCACAGGUACGUACUGGUCUCACUGAUUCCUCCUUCCUGAUGAACUGUAAUGCCAUUAAUUUGGUGUUGCGGGGAAACUGGACUGUUACUUUGAAAAAAUUAGAGUGUUUAAAGCAGGCUAACGCUUGAAUACAUUAGCAUGGAAUAAUGAAAUAGGACGUUCGAUCCUAUUUUGUUGGUUUCUAGGAUUGACGUAAUGAUUAAUAGGGAUAGUUGGGGGCAUUAGUAUUCAAUUGUCAGAGGUGAAAUUCUUGGAUUUAUUGAAGACUAACUACUGCGAAAGCAUUUGCCAAGGAUGUUUUCAUUAAUCAAGAACGAAAGUUAGGGGAUCGAAGACGAUCAGAUACCGUCGUAG
rnacentral:rRNA from 1 species